CCUGAAAGGAGUUCAGGGAGGAGAGCAGAAAGGAGGUGCUCUGUGCUCUGGGGAAAAAACCUGGCAGGACAGAUCUUCAGAUGAUUAGAUAUUUUCAGGAGCUGAUUUCAUGAGCUCGAUUCUUGUAUUUCUCCAUAUUUAGAAGAGCACUAAAGUCCUUCAUGGUGACUCCUGUUCCUAGUGACUAGCAGAAAACUUCUGGAAAAAUAUGUGCUUGAUACAUGUAUUCCCCCUUCACCAAAAUCCCCUUUCACCUUCCCCCAGUACCUCUUUGGAGCAAUUUUCAGAGCUAUCUGAGGUGCUGUCUCCUGGGCUGUGGUCCUCAUUUUGCCCCAAAUAAAAUGUAGCUCACAACUCUCAUGUUGUGUAUUUUUCUUUCAGUCAACAACAGGAGCAAUGCUGUCUGUGGCUGUUUAAGGACGUUUGUACCGAGCGUCCCAGUUGCCCUCUCAUGUUUCUGCUGUAUUAUAAUCUUCACCACUACCUGCUAUUUGACAGCCAUUUCACUUAACGGUUCCGACUCUUGGAGCACAGAACUAUUGUGACCCCUCCUGAACAGAUGACUGAGAAGGAAGAGUCAAUCAGUGUUACACUAUCUGCAAAAGAUUAAAAAAGAGAUAGUACAUAUUUUCACACUCUCUUCUCCUUGUGCCGUUUCCUUCCGUUUCUAGGUGUACUCCAGUUUCCAGUAUGCCCAGUUGUAUUUUAAAAAUGCGUAUCAGGGCAUCUUAGUCUUCAGGCCACCGAGUCUGUUUCAGGGCUAAAACCUUCCUUGUGUUUUCCUGUAAUGUCUAAAUAGAAAGCAUUUGUUCAAAUCUCAUUCAACUUCCUGGAAAUUAAAUAUGAAAGUGGAUGAGAGCUGCAGUGCUCUCUGCUCCCCAAUGCAAAUGUAUGCAAAUGUCUUCCUAUUAGAAUCAUUGUCUCGUUGUCAUCCUCGCACGGGGCACAUCAAAGCCAUAUGACCUGAUUUUUGCACCUGCUGUUUAAUUAAAUUUACAAGGCAGACACACUCUCCACUCCCGGUGAUAUACAAAUCCGUUUUUACAGCCACGGCUUCUAAUUUACAAGGUAGUUGACUGCUGAGCUUCACCAUCAAUAGCUGCCCAACUGUUCUUUGUUACAGUGAAGAUGAAAAAAGGAAGCAGUGGCUUAGCAUUGGGCAGAUGGAUUAGCAGAAAUAUUACAAGUCAGUUGCCUCUCUCAUCUAAGCCUCACGAUUUUCGUUGUGGAGACGCAACGGGAGAUAUGAAGUGGGGUAUUUAAUACCAAUAGGAACGGCGUUUCUGCUUUUGUUGAUUUUUCCCUAAUUCACAGGAAAGAGACGUAAAACUCCAGUUGGUGCCUCUGGUUACUUUGUACAUGGGGAAGGAGGAGCCAGGCCAGUGUGGUUUGAGAAACAUCACUUGUUCUAGGGCUGUCGCAAGCUAAAAGUGUUUUCUGAAAGGUAUUUAUUACAUCAGGAUAAUGCAUCUUGAAAUUCCCCCUGGACUUCUCUCUGUAGGGAACACUGAGUCUCUAAAUUGUCUGUAUCUCCAGGUAAUACAGAAGGAAGAAGAGAGUGCCAUGCUCAGCUUUGUGUUAAGUGAUCAUUUGUUGCUGGGCCGACGUAAUUCUCUUCUUAAAGCUGAUGCACAGACAUGCAUUUGACUUCCCCGAGAGAUGCCUCAGAAAGAACAGCCAAGGGAAGUAUUUUAAGAGAUAGCUAGGGCCGAUAAGAAAAUGCGUCCUUGUCUUUUUCUACAAUAUCACUCAGCCCAAGGACUUACGUGGAAGGAUGAUGCCAUUUCACUUACUGCAUAUAAAAUAACUUAAUCAAAAUAAUAUUUUAUUUUCACCCAUAUGCUCUGAAAUCUUGAUGGGCUUCAAAAAACCAUUUUUGUGAGACGUGGUUUUCUGAUAAAGAGAAGUGAAAUUCUGAGAGUCCAUCCAUAGGUGGCGCCAAGCAUUCACUGAAGCAAAUAACACUGCAAACAAGUUUGGAACAAGUCACAUAAAUUCAAGCCUUGAGCUGCAACUAACUGGGAGACAUAUGGGUUGAGUCCCAGGCCUGCCCAAGAAUAACUUUGAAGAAAAUUUUGUUUUCUGGCAAUACAGAUGCUAACACACCACAGAACCUUUAAAAAGAAUAAAUAUGUAGAUGGUUCAUAGCUUUCA
rnacentral:lncRNA from 1 species